AGCGAACGCUGGCGGCAGGCUUAACACAUGCAAGUCGAACGAACCUUUCGGGGUUAGUGGCGGACGGGUGAGUAACACGUGGGAACGUGCCUUUAGGUUCGGAAUAACUCAGGGAAACUUGUGCUAAUACCGAAUGUGCCCUUCGGGGGAAAGAUUUAUCGCUUUUAGAGCGGCCUGCGUCUGUUUCGCUAGUUGGUUGAGGUAUUGGCUCACCAAGGCGACGAUCAGUAGCUGGUCUGAGAGGAUGAUAAGCCACAUUGGGACUGAGACACGGACCAAUAUCCUACGGAAGAGAGCAGUGGGGUAUCUCACGCAAUGAGCGAAAACCUGACACAGCCGUGCGGCGUAGAUGAGAAAUGUGUUAGGAUUGUAACAUUCUUUCACCGGAGACGAUAGUGACGGUACCGGGUGAAGAAGCCCCGGCUAACUACGUG
rnacentral:rRNA from 1 species